UUUCCGUAGGCGAACCUGCGGAAGGAUCAUUAUUGGAUUUUGAAACUUCAGGCUGCUGCUGGCUCUCCUCGGAGGGCAUGUGCACGCUUGUUGUCCAUUAUUUCUCCCACUGUGCACAAAUUGUAGACCUUUCAGUAGGCCUAUGUUGUUUUUCACAAUCUCUGAAUGUAAUAGAAUGGUUUUGAAUCUUGGGAAAUACAAUACAACUUUCAGCAACGGAUCUCUUGGCUCUC
rnacentral:misc_RNA from 1 species